UGGUUGACCAAUUCGUUCCAGAAACGAAUGUGUCAUGAGAAUCCUCUCAAAAAACCUAUGAAAAACGUUCUGUGACUAGAUCGUAAUGAAAUAAACUUCGGUAACACUCUAUGAGUAACUCCAAGCAACUUUCACCUAAGAUCAAAAUCACAGCAUAAUCGUUUUUUGUAAAACCCGCAGAAACAACCUUAUGUAUACAUAUCACCGAAUUACAUAUCACAGCAGAAUCGUUUCUACUUUGACAUAUGUAUACAUAUCACCGACUUACAACCUUCGUAAAACCGGUCUCCAUUACUUACGCGAAAAAUCCUUCGUACAAUCAGACUAAGUCUUACGAAGAAACUUUCUAAAGUUAACAUAACAGGCUUUAUGAAUAAGUAUGUUUUGUAUAGCAAACGCAAACCUCUCUGCGGCUCGCUGGCUUCUGCCUUUCUUUUCCCUCGGUCACAUCCGAGAAGGCAGUCAUCCCGCCGCUGACUCCACACUGGUUAUGUAGCAAACCUCUUGGGCUUCGUCUUCCUCAGACAAAAAAAAUCGAUUUUCAAAAGACUAUAGGUCACAUUAUAUGAAAUAUUCAUCAUAUAACUUAAACCUAGAGCAGAGAAUCGUUUUCUACGACUAUCGGCCAUAUUAGCAUGGAUAACCCCAGCAAACUUGGCCUAUCAAUCUCGACAAGCGCUCUUUGGCCCUCGAUCAAUUAAACCAAUAUUUGCCAUCCCCCUUAAGGACGAUCGUAAACUAACAUGAGCUUAAAUGUUAAACUACCAUGGUCUAAUCCUUGACCUAUAACAUCCUUGGCUAUCUGAGUGAACACAUCCUUCACGCCAAGCCAAACUACUUGAGAAACCAUCUCUCCAUCACUUAACGGCUAAAAGACAAUCUACGAUUUUUCUAAAAACAUCGUGUGACUAUUAAGAGAAUAUUGCCCACAGUCGGAAAUCAUAUGAUAAAUUCUUCGUAACGAAACUCAGUCCUAACAACCAAACGGCUAACAGAAAACCUAAACUUUUCAAAAAUUGACUAAGUUCAAUACGCUCCACAAUUUCCUUAAGUCCGCAACGUUUUACCCAUAAUACGGAGCAUGUAAGGAAAAAUUCGUAACAAAGCUUCUAGAGCUAUACAAAACAUCCU